GGUCAAGCUACAAAGGGCGCAUGGUGAAUGCCUUGGCAUCAGGAGCCGAUGAAGGACGUGAUAAGCUGCGAUAAGCUUCGGGUAGGCGCACAUAGCCUGAGAUCCGAAGAUUUCCGAAUGAGGAAACUCACAUGGGAAACCCCAUGUAUCAUUAAGUGAAUACAUAGCUUAAUGAAGGUAACCCAGGGAACUGAAACAUCUAAGUACCUGGAGGAAGAGAAAGAAAAAUCGAUUUUCUUAGUAGCGGCGAGCGAAAGGGAAAGAGCCCAAACCGGAAACUUGUUUCCGGGGUUG
rnacentral:rRNA from 1 species